AAAACUUUUUUCGAAAGAAAAAAAUCUGUUCUUAUCAGUUUAAAUAUCUGAUACGUCCCCCAUCCGGGGACUACAUAUUAAAUGGAUUUUUAGAUCACGGAGCUGGAGCCGGGGCUUGCUCCGUCCACUCCAUGCAUCGGCCUGGUAUUGCAGUGUCUCCAGGAACGGUGUGCUUUCC
rnacentral:snRNA from 1 species